GAACUAGGCUCAGGACGAACGCUGGCGGCGUGCCUAACACAUGCAAGUCGAGCGAUGAAAGAGAAGUGGCGGUCUUCGGACCAAAACAUUUCUGGAUUAGCGGCGGACGGGUGAGUAACACGUGAGCAACCUGCCUAUCACAUCGGGAUAGCCUCGGGAAACUGGGAUUAAUACCGAAUGAAACAUAUUGGUAACCUUAUCGAAAUGUCAAAGAUUUAUCGGUGAUAGAUGGGCUCGCGUCUGAUUAGCUAGUUGGUGAGAUAAAAGCCCACCAAGGCAAUGAUCAGUAGCCGGCCUGAGAGGGUGAUCGGCCACAUUGGGACUGAGACACGGCCCAAACUCCUACGGGAGGCAGCAGUGGGGAAUAUUGCACAAUGGAGGGAACUCUGAUGCAGCGACGCCGCGUGAGCGAAGAAGGAAUUCGUUUCGUAAAGCUCUGUCCUAUGGGAAGAUAAUGACGGUACCAUAGAAGAAGGCCCCGGCUAACUACGUGCCAGCAGCCGCGGUAAUACGUAGGGGGCGAGCGUUGUCCGGAAUUAUUGGGCGUAAAGGGUUCGUAGGCGGUAAUACAUGUCAGAUGUGAAAUCUUGUGGCUUAACCACAUCAAGCAUCUGAAACUGUAUAACUUGAGUGGAGGAGAGGUAAGUGGAAUUCCUAGUGUAGC
rnacentral:rRNA from 1 species